rnacentral:rRNA from 1 species
UACGUAGGGUGCAAGCGUUUGUCCGGAAUUAUUGGGCGUAAAGAGCUCGUAGGCGGUUUGUCGCGUCUGCUGUGAAAACGCGAGGCUCAACCUCGCGCCUGCAGUGGGUACGGGCAGACUAGAGUGCGGUAGGGGAGACUGGAAUUCCUGGUGUAGCGGUGAAAUGCGCAGAUAUCAGGAGGAACACCGGUGGCGAAGGCGGGGUCUCUGGGGCCGUAACUGACGCUGGAGGAGCG